rnacentral:rRNA from 1 species
GACGAACCGUGCGAACGUUGUUCGGAAUCACUGGGCUUAAAGGGCGCGUAGGCGGGCGGUCAAGUCAGAGGUGAAAUCCCACGGCUCAACCGUGGAAGUGCCCCUGAUACUGAUCGCCUCGAGGGAGGUAGGGGCGUGCGGAACUUCCGGUGGAGCGGUGAAAUGCGUAGAUAUCGGAAGGAACACCGAUGGCGAAAGCAGCGCGCUGGACCUUUACUGACGCUGAUGCACGAAAGCUAGGGGAGCAAACAGG